GACAGAGGCCUCAAGCGUUAGGCGGAAUCACUGGGCUUAAAGCGUGUGUAGGCGGAUCGUUAAGUGCCUUGUGAAAUCCCACGGCUUAACUGUGGAACGGCUGGGCAGUACUGGCGGUCUUGAGCCAUCUAGGGGCGACUGGAACAAAGCGGUGGAGCGGUGAAAUGACGUAGAUAUCGUUUGGAACGCCAAUGGUGAAAACAGGUCGCUGGGGAUGAGCUGACGCUGAGACACGAAAGCCAGGGGAGCAAACGGG
rnacentral:rRNA from 1 species